rnacentral:rRNA from 1 species
GACGAACCGUGCGAACGUUGUUCGGAAUCACUGGGCUUAAAGGGCGCGUAGGCGGGCUCGCAAGUCGGGGGUGAAAUCCCACGGCUCAACCGUGGAAGUGCCUUUGAUACUGCGGGCCUGGAGGGAGGUAGGGGCGUGCGGAACUUCCGGUGGAGCGGUGAAAUGCGUAGAUAUCGGAAGGAACACCGGUGGCGAAAGCGGCGCGCUGGACCUCUUCUGACGCUGAGGCGCGAAAGCCAGGGGAGCAAACGGG